UUGUUCUAGAUCCACUUGUUAAACACAAGAACAGUCAAAUUACCAAUAUGUUACUAUUAGUUUCAGAUGGAUAUGGUACAGCCUAAUUCUUUGGCAGCAGUACUAAGAAACUGAGUAGGCAUUCCAGUUGCAAGUAAGCUAUGAGCUUCCCAUGUUAAACACUUCUCAAUAUCAGUUUGCCAGUUGAUAUUGCCUACACUUAAAUACUGAUAAGCAGGGCCAUGAAUGCCAUUUUUGUCCACUUUUUUCCCACUAGCUUUUAGUGAACCAGCAUACAGAAUUGCACGAAGAACUGAUGUGCUAAGAGCCCGAACAUGAGCGCUUGGAUGAGAGAGACAGCGCGCUGUCGCUGGUAAUCGGCACUGCAAAUUAGCAAUCAAACAAUUGUACUAGAUGUGUCAGUAUGCAAUCAACCCAUCAAAUUGUUUGAUGAACAAAAUGUAAUCUCUGAUGCCUAAUGAUGCUCACGUCUUCUUGCAAAAAUGAGACUUAAUUUAUGUCACAUGGCAUACAGAAAUCCUCAUUAAAUUUCAAUGUAAAUCACACUACGUUUCUAGUAGCAGCACUAAAGAAUGUUAUUUACAUGGGUCUAUUACCUUCAAUAGGUUCAAAAGGCCAUCGGCCACAGCCAAUCCGGAUUCUCCCCACUCGAGUACAGGUUGGACCGCUCUAGCAGUUGCUUCGAGGAGCUUUUUCAUUGUUAGAGGAUGCAAAUACAGGAAAUUAGUCAGUAAACAGUGUGUGUAUAAGAAUUAAUCUUUCCUACAUUAAUAAUGUAUACACAACCAGGCCUGCAUAUAUGCCACAUGAUUUCAAUUUGGAUUUGAUCUCUACAUUUUACACGUGGGAUGUAUUUAGAUCCGUUAGCGUAUACAAUGUCAAUGUAUUAUAGAUUUACCCAUAAAAAAAAACAUUUUUUUUUGAGGAAAAAGAUCAAUACUUUCAUUCAUAAUUUCAAACAAGCAUAUAUGGAAAAGAUUAGGAAAGGGCAAAAUUGAACAUUUAAAUUUAGCAAUUCAAAAGUCUUUACAAUUUUAAAGAAAAAAGAAAGGACAGCUGCUCAUUCAAAUAAUUAGAAUCAGCUACCUCCAGUUGCGGUAAAGUGCAUGCUUCUCCAUCAACGAGCAUCUCAUCUGUGGCGCGUAACAGGAGGUCUGAAGCACUGGAUAGAAUUACCAAUGAUUCAGGUGUAUCAUGAUUUCUCAUUAGCUCCACAAUCACUUUUACAAUGCGUUGAUUGAUCCUCCACAUCUUCUGACCAAGAUCAUCAUCUUUGGCAAUCCACGGUUUCAGUUCCCUCUCUGCCUGACAAGCCAACAAAGCAAAGAAAGCACUUGGGAUCCUCGGUGACAUAUUUUCUAUGCCAAUCCAAUGCCACCUCUAAUAUAUCGCCAAGUGUUCUGUUAUUAUUUGCACUUUAAUUUUUUAAUAAUUCAAAUUGGUUUGGUUUAAUACAAAUUUUCUUUACCCUCUAAAAAUUUUGAACCAAAAUUAACCGAUCGGUUUAAUUCAAAUACCAUCACUUUUAAGUUAACCACCCACGAUCUGUUGCAUUGGGGAAAAAGAAAAAGAAAACCUAAACAAAAUUGCCUCCAAACUCUUUCAUCGGUGAUUGCUUUGAACAAAGCCAAAAAGAAACAAUCGGCAGUGGAGACAAGGAAUAACAUAAUAAAUAUGAGCAGGUAUUGAGUAUUUACAUGGAUACAAGGUGAAUAAACCUGCCCUUGUUCACCAAAACAUUUCUGCUGCGAAUGUGCUGAUUGAUCAACGAAACAGACCUUUGCUUUCUGAUUCGGGUCUCCACAAAUUACUUACUAAUGAUACUGUCUUCUCAGCACUCAAGGAUAGCGCUGCGAUGGGAUAUUUGGCUCCUGAGUACAGUCCUACUGGCCGGUUUACAGAGAAAAGUGAUAUUUAUGCAUUUGGGGUACUUUUGUUUCAAAUCCUUUCUGGGGUUCGAAAAGUAAACUUAGGAAAAACUCAGGACUUCAUGGAUAGAAAUCUCCAUGGAAAGUUCUCUGAACCUGAAGCCAUCAGCCCAGAUUCUGUGCAUAAUUGGACUUCUUUGUUUCCAAAUAUUUAUUAUGUUAUUCCUUGUCUCCACUGCCGAUUGUUUCUUUUUGGCUUUGUUCAAAGCAAUCACCGAUGAAAGAGUUUGGAGGUAAUUUUGUUUAGGUUUUCUUUUUCUUUUUCCCCAAUGCAACAGAUUGUGGGUGGUUAACUCAAAAGUGAUGGUAUUUGAAUUAGACCGAUCGGUUAAUUUUGGUUCAAAAUUUUUAGAGGGUAAAGAAAAUUUGUGUUAAACCAAACCAAUUUGAAUUAUUAAAAAAUUAAAGUGCAAAUAAUAACAGGACACUUGGCGAUAUAUUAGAGGUGGCAUUGGAUUGGCAUAGAAAAUAUGUCACCGAGGAUCCCGACUAGACAUUUGAAGCAAUCUAAUUAGAUAAACACUGAGGUUUGCUUCAAUGAGAACUGCAACUUGACCAGGUAUUUGUGAUUAGCUCCAUUUUGGAGACUGUUCACUGAUAACUUUACUGUAUGUUGAAGAUGACCUCUGAUAAUUGAGUGAAUGACAUAAAUUUUGUUCUUGUCAGAUAGCAAAGCUGAGUAUGAUCCCUGUUUCCUGCUUAUUGGAAGUUGUGUUUGACAAAAUUAGAUAUUCAAGAGAUACAAAGCUCAGCAUUGCUCUUGUCCUCCUGGGUGUUGGCGUCUGCACAGUCACUAAUGUUAGUGUCAACACUAAAGGAUUUGUUGCUGCCUUUAUUGCAGUUUGGAGUACUUCUCUCCAACAGUAUGUAAGUUGUUUAUUCCUCUGCUCAAUUCUGUAUGUAAGGUUGUAUGAUGUCUUGAUCGUUCAUCUGGUUAAUGCAACAUUAGAUCAUGCAGACCCCACGAUUACCAGUCCUGGUGAUAUGAUGAAAGGUUUAUUAAAGAGAAAAAAAAAAAUUUUGAUGCAAUUUGUCUAUUAUAGUUAGUAGAUGCCCUACUAAUAUCCGACACCAGAUGCAUAAAGCAUGUGACAUCUUUUGCUCCCCUGUCCAUCUGAAAAUUUUUCUGAAGAAAUGCAGAAUACGAAUCCUGUAAUUUUAUGUAAUUAUCCCCCACAAUUACGUAUUUUUAAAGUUGCUUUUGGUGCUUAUAGAUAUAUUAUUUAUAUUCAAAAGAAAAAAAUACUGUUUGGUGCUUAAUCUUUUAUUUGUGCAUCUGAAAUGCUUGGAACCUCAGGUUAAUCUAAGAACUUGACUUUCUUAUGCAGUUUGUUCAUUUCCUUCCACGGAAAUACUCUCUUAGCUCAUUCAAUCUUCUAGGACAUACAGCACCAGCCCAGGCUGCAUCUUUGCUGCUAGUAGGCCCAUUUCUAGAUUAUUGGUUGACAAACAAGAGGAUUGAUGCCUUUAACUUCAACGUACCAUCUUUGGUAAGUCUUUGUGCCCGAUGCUCAUGUUAACUGUGAUCAUCCCAGUUUCUCCUAUGGUUAUACUUAUGUUACAUUCUCAUUCUUAAUUAGAUGAUAAUCAUGUGCUUUUUAAUCUUGGGAAGUGGCAUUGCUGCGGAUGCAUCAAAUUUUGCUUAUUGUACUCAACUUUUGGCAUGCUUACUAGCAUGCAACCUAUACAAAUGUUAAUUUCAUGCUGGAACAGGUUUUAUUCCACUGAAAGUAUGAUAUGCAAAUGGUAAUAGUUCACUGUUUGCAAAAUAGUGCAUCAUGCCCUGCCAAAAAAACCUUUUGUAUAUCUUGCCCGAUGUCUGUUGAAUAUUUUCCACAUGUUGAACCCCUUUUUUGUUUUACAGACCUGUAUUUCACCGCAUGUCAUGCUUAGAAGGGAAAAGAAUUCUGCCAUAUAUGAUGAACUCUUAUUUGUUUGAGUUUGUAAUACGUUUCUAAAUUAUCAUACGACAUAGGAUAGUGGAUUCACAGCCUUACAGGAGUGACAGAUCUAGCAUAAGAUGUUGACUUGAUGAGCUGUCCCAAUUAAAUUUUGCCAACUGUGGGAAAGAUACACAAUUUAUUUGUUUAUUUUUUAAUUUUCAAACUUCUUUUCUUUUUCCCUUCAUAUUUUUUGAAUAUAAUAGCAUGGUUUGUGGAUAGCCACGCACACUGCUUUUUCUGCUCGUAGUCACGCACACUACUUUUUCUGCUCUUAUUCUCAUUCUGUUUGUCUGUUUGAUCUUAACUUCUUUUUAAUGGCAUUUUAAUUUAUAAACCUUAUAAUUGUUGUCACAUUUAUUUUUUCCCUUUAAUUUGUUUAUCAUAACAUAAGGAUGCCUUUUCUUGAGGUGCUUGUUUAUUUUAAGGUGUUUCCUCACACUAUUUUAUCUUUGGGCAUCUUCUCAGGUGUUUAUAGUCCUUUCAUGCACUUUUGCAGUUGGAACAAAUCUGAGCCAGUUCAUCUGCAUUGGCAGAUUUACUGCUGUCUCAUUCCAGGUCCUUGGCCAUAUGAAAACCAUUCUUGUUUUGAUCCUGGGGUUCUUAUUUUUCGGGAAAGAGGGUCUUAAUUUACAUGUGGUCAUUGGCAUGAUUAUUGCUGUUGUUGGAAUGGUAUGGUAUGGCAAUGCUUCUUCCAAACCAGGUGGAAAGGAGCGUCACAGUCAUUCAUCUCGAAGCAGCCAGCAGAAGCAUGGUUCAGAAUCUUCUAUUACAAAGGUGCGCAGAUUUUGUUAGCUAGAACUUGAAAGUUAUGCUUAGCAGUAGUCAAAUACAAGGCAUUGAAAGUUAAUGAACUUAUACAAGGAAGAGAUGCGUUGGAAGUUGGAACUGUUCGCCUAAGGUGUGAUUUAGCUUUUGCCCAAUCUUCUGUGGUUUGUCUCGGAUGUUUAAAGAAGCUUGUUGCAUAUUGCCUAGCAAUCGAUAUUUCUUGUUGCUUUCAUGCUGAAAGAUAGUUGAUAUUGUAGAGUACACAAUACACAUAUGAAGCAGUGUUACAUCAAGCAAGCCUACCCUCUCCAGCAUACCAUUAUUUUCCAGGUUUUAUGCCUUUCAAGCUUCAUAAAGUGGAAGCCAAUAGAAAAACUAAAUUUAAAGAGGAGAUGUGACGACAAAGAAAAUAAUGUAGCCCAUGAGACAGAUUAAUGUCAAGAAAUCCUAAGACAGCUGAAAGUCACCAUGGAGAUGCUUAGGCAGUGCUUGUGCACCCAUUGAUAAAAGGCUAGAAAUCAUGUGCAUGGUUGGCCUUGAUUGAGGAUCAACAUUCAGACAGGCCCUUGCAAGCUUGAGAAUUGAUACCAGAGUCUCUUCAACUUCCUGACCAGGAUACGGAAGUCGUUGGUCCAUCAAGUCUUUCAGUUGGAUGUUCACAGAUGUGGGCGAUGUAAGGUGAGGAAUGAAGUCACCAGGAUGGCUGCCUUUGAUUACUUCAAGGGUUAGAACCCCAAAGCUAUACACAUCACAUUUUUCAGUUACUCUCAUUGUGUAGGCAAGCUCUGCAAGGCAAAAUCAUGUCAUCAUUAACUUUGUGAUCAUGCUGUAAUUAACUUCUUGAAUGGUUCAUAAGAGAAAAAAAACUAUAUUACCUGGUGCAACAUAUCCAUAGGUGCCUGCUACUGCACUCCAGUUAGACGAGUCUAUCUUCAGAAGCUUAGCCGUGCCAAAAUCUGAAACAUGAGCUUCAUACUCUGAAUCAAGCAAAACAUUGUUGCUUGAAAUGUCUCGAUGAACUAUAGGCGGCGAACAAUCAUGAUGCAUGUAAGACAGAGCAUGAGCAAUGCCCUUAAUGAUUUUUAUCCUUUUCUGCCAAUCCAAUUUUUUAGCUUCUUCUUCAAUGCUCAAAAGUUUAGCCAAGCUGCCUCUUUCAAGGUACUCAUAAACCAAAAACGAGUAUUUGGCACUUGAGCAGUAACCCUGAAGCUUCACAAUGUUUCGAUGCCUGAUCUUUGUCAAGGCCCUUAUCUCCUUCAAGAAACCUUCUUGAUCUGCAGACUCAGACAAGUGGUGGAGUCUCUUUACAGCCACUGUGUUAGCCGGUGGAAGAUUUGCCUUGUAAACACUUCCAUGACCUCCUUUCCCUAUGCAAAAUGUUGGAUCAAAAUCCUGCGUCACUUUUAAGAUGUUCUCAUACAUUUCUUUGCCAUCAAAUAAGGAUAUAGAGAACACAUCUCCACCCUUUACUUCCCCGUCUUUCACUGUUGGAUCUCCCUUUCUUUUUUCGUGAAAAAAGAGAAUUCCAGCAAACGCAGAAAAAAGCAUGAGUGCUCCAACAAGAGGGAGUGCAAUUAUGAGAGCAAGUUUCUGCCCAUUCUCAUGCUUUUUGACCAAUUGAGGACUAUCACACGGUCGUACCCCUGUAAUGUUGCCACACAAACCUUUAUUCCCUUUAAGUUGUUCAAUAAUGGCAUUUGCAAAUGCUUUUCCACAAGGAAUUGGACCCUCUAACUCAUUGAAAGAUAAAUCAAUAUGCUGAAUACCGGGCAAUUCUGCCAAAGCCUUUGGAAUGACACCUGAAAGGUUAUUAUGGGAGAGAUUCAACGUUUCCAGACUGUUCAAACUUCCAAAUUCAGUUGGUAUCUCUCCGAUGAGGAAAUUGUGGCUCAAAUCAAGAAGGUCAAGGUGAAUUAACUUACCCAACUGGGAUGGAAUACUGUGGCUUAAACUAUUGCUGCUCAAGUUCAAAAAGGUUAGUCGCUGGCACUCUCCUAUGCUUCCUGGAAUUGAUCCAUUUAAUAAGUUCACUGCUAGGUCGAGAGAGAAUAGAUCUGUCAGUGAUCCUAACUCUAGAGGUAUACCACCCGAGAGUUGGUUGUCAUUUAAAAGCAGCCGUUGAAUGGACUUCAGCUUCCCAAGUUCCUUUGGAAUCUCCCCAGCUAUCUGAUUUGAAGAAAGAUCAAGGAAGCCCAGACUAGGCAGAUUCCCAAAUUCUGGAGGAAUGUGACCUGUGAUGCUGUUAUUUGCAAUUGAAAGAGUUGUCAAGUUUUUGCAUCUACCCCAGUUGUUUGAGAGCUCCCCAGAAAAGCUGUUGUUGCUAAGAAAGAUAAAUUCAAGGUGUGGAUAAAUACCAAACGAUUCAGACAGGUCCCCAGUGAACUGGUUCCCAUCAAAUCGAGCUCUGACUAAACUUGCACAGUUUUUCAAACUUUCUGGAAUUGGACCAGAAAGGCUGUUAUUGUUGACAGUGAAGUCUCGAAGAGUUUGACUGCUACAUAGCCCUUCUGGUAAAUGACCGGAGAACUGAUUUUCAUCCAUUUCCAAGACAACCAACUUUGUCAGUUUCCCUAGCUCUGGGGGAAUGGAGCCAGAAAGUUGGUUAUCGCGAAGAAACAGAGUUUCCAAUUCUAUCAAAUUGCCAAGUGAAGUAGGAAUCAACCCGUAAAGUUGAUUCUCACUUACUUCGAAUUCGACCAGAGACUUCAGGUUGCCUAACUCUUCCGGGAUUGAACCAGAAAGUUGAUUCCGAUAUAGAUGCAAAAGAGUCAGAUCCCUCAGGUUACCUAGUGAAGUUGGGAUUGGACCAGUGAGCUUAUUUCCCCAUAGGCUCAGACUCUGGAGUUUUUUCAACUUUCCUAUCUCAGGAGGAAUGGAACCAGAUAGGCCGUUUUCAAAAAGAUGCAAAAGCAGUAGGUUAUUCAGGUUACCAAUCGAGGCUGGAAUAGGGCCUGUCAGCUGGUUGUUGUCGAUGUCAACCUCAACAAGAUUGUUGAGGUUUCCAAUUUCACGAGGAAUAGAACCUGAAAGUUGAUUUUCAUAGAGAUAUAAAUAAGUCAAGUUUUUCAGAUUGCCAAGGGAGGCAGGAAUAGGGCCCGUAAUGUUGUUUGUACACAAGAUAAGCUCAACGAGAGACCUUAACUGGCCAAUCUCCUGAGGAAUUGAGCCAUUUAAGUAGUUCUCGUUCAAGUGGAGGGUUUGAAGGUUGGUUAAGAGGCCAAUUUCUGGUGGGAUGGUUCCAGAGAAUUUAUUAUAGGACAAAUCAAGAUAACUGAGCUUCGAAAGCUUGCUUACCUGAGGAGGUACGCUGCCAGAAAGUUCAUUCAUGCUUAAAUCAGCCUUUUCAAGAUUUGGAAGAGAUGAAAAUGGAAAGCUGUAAAGCGUACCAUUGAUACUUGAAUGUGUGAGGUUUAACGUGCUUACACUGCCAUCAAUGCACGACACACCGAACCAAGUGCAAGGGCUGACACUUGCUUUUGGAUGAUUACGAGUGUUUUGAAGAUUCCAAGAUGUUAGGAGGGUGUUGUUCAGGUUUGAAAAACUGGCUUUCCAUUUCAAAAGGGCUUCAGCCUCCUCAACAGAAGCUGAAGCAAAUUGGAGAGCCAAAACUGAGAUAAGCAGGAGCAGAAGAAGUUCGAACGAUGGGUUUUGAUGAUUAGCUAAAGAACCCAUGAUUUUUUUUUUGUUGUGAUUUUUCUAUGUUGAACUAAAAAUGGCUUAAAGUGUACACAAUUUAUACUGGAGAUAAAGCUAGUUGGAGACCCCACCCCACCAUUGCAACACUAGACUCUGUGGUCUUUCCACGGUUUCUUCCAGCCAUAAAGACUGUUCAAUAUAACAUGGACAUGCUUGUCAAGUUUUAGGAGACUGGAGUCGACUUGAGUGUGUUUCACUUCUCAAGUCAAGCCAAUUUAUCCUUUUAAGAAAGUCAAGCAAAAGUUCUAAUUGAUACCAUUAAUAUUGGAGUCUUUGAAAGUGAAGAACAAGUAAAUUGAUCAACGAGACUUAAACAUGCAUUACUACCCAGCUAAAGAAAGAGCAAUUACGAUAGGUAGCGCCCUAAAUAUUGCUUUUUUUUUGCACAGUGAGCAUUAAGGUCCAUCAAGAAUAGCAUUUCAUGCCAUCUUUUUUAGAGAAAAGGAAAAAUUACACUUUAUCCCUUGUGGUUUAGUAUUUUUAUAUAUAACCCCCUUAUAGUUUCAAAAGUUAUACAUAACCCCUUCAUGAUUUGGAUUAAAGUGUUAGAGUGACGGAAUUUGCAAUCCAUAACGGAGUCAUCUAAAAUGUCAAAAAUACCUCUAUGUAAAGUUGAAAAUUAUUUCUUAACUACAGGGGGGUUAUGUGUAUAUUUUUAAAACCAUAAGGGGGUUAUAUGGUAAAGUAUAAAAUCAUAAAGGGGUUAUAUGGUAAAAUAUAAAAUUAUACAUAGUUAGUGUGUUAUGUAUAUUAUAUUUAUAUAUCUUGGUCAUUUCAACCAUUUUAAUUUUUAAACAAGCAUAAUUUCGAUAUUUUAAUAGGUUUCGUUAUGAAUGAUCAUUUCCGUCACUUUGACGCUUUAAUUAAAUCAUGAGGGGAUUAUGUAUAAUUUUUGAAACCAUAUGAGGGUUAUGUACGAAAACACUAAACCAUAGGCAGAUAAAGUGCAAUUUGCCCUAGAGAAAAAAAAAACAAUACUCUUUUUUCUCCUAAUUCCUUGAGUUUAUCUAAAAUCUGUUUAUCACUGGGUAUAAGUGGCGAUACUUCUCAAGUCAACCUGAUCUUAACUCUUGAUGGUUCUUGGCAAUUUCCUUUAGCUCUCUAAAUGGCUCGUUAGCCAAUAGGUGUAGAUUUGUAAUCGAGGAGAAAUCGGGUCUCUGAAAAUGAAAAUGAAAAUGGAGUUGUGUGGAACCAAAAGACUUGGUCAGAAACAUUGGCAAAAAGGCCAUUUUUUCCAUCACUAAAAAUGAUAUUUCUAACUUCAUAAUAAAUGGAAAUUAAUAUUCUUGACUCUUUCAACAGAAGAUGCUUCUUGGUCUGUGCCAAUACAACAAGUAAUUAAAUUACUCGGCAUUUUAAUGCUUCUUAGACUCUUCGGUCAUCAAGCCAUAGGAGUUCACUAACUUGUCCAGAGGAUUUCCGAGAAAUGGUGUAAAACAAUGUCAGAUUUACUCUGAAAUUUAAAGACACAAAUUGAAAUUCUAACAAAUUUCGUUGAUUUUUUUUCUGAAUUUUUUGGUAUUUAAUUUGAUCAACUUCUGAAAUCCGUUAAUCUGUAGUCAUUCCAAAAUUCUCCACGUAACUAAAUUUGUUAUAUUUCUAUAGAAGUUCUCAUAACAAGUGAGCUGGAAUGAAAGAAAUAAAGUAAACCAACUCAUUUACUGGCUCCCAGAAAUUGACUUCGCACAUGAUUCAGCCUUUCGCUUUAUUACUAUCUAUAAAACCCUGUGUGUUACUUCCAUGCUUGACUUGUCCACCUUUCUUUCCUGCUUAACAGCAUUAUUGUUUUGCAAAUUAAAAAAGUGUAACAUUUAUGAUUUAAGUAAAAUGUUAUCAUGAGUAUAUAAAAUAUUUGACAUGACACAAUAGUAUGAAUACACGGUGGUAUAGUAUCUUCAUAGUUUAGAAAAAUUUGAACAUCUUUUAGAUCUAUGACUUCUAUGUUCUAAGUAAGUACAAGUAUUGCAACAAGAUGUUGAGAAUCAAAAGUUGAUAGAAUUUGUAUUUCGGGGUAUAAAAUCACCUGCAAAGCAGGUGAGAUAUUCAUAGUAACUAUAAAGACUUGGAAGCGAAAAAAAGGAACAAAACGACUUGUUGGAAAUCUUUCACUAGAUCGUGCUUUCUGCUGAGGUUACAUUAGUUUCCUGAAUACAAAACUAUAUUGCAGGAUGCUUUCUGGGACUAAUUUGGCUGAGUUAUUGAUGUAUCGAAUUUUAUAAUCCACAAUUCUUGCUACGGUCAAAGUGGAAUCGUCUCUUCCAAUAACCAAUAUGAGAAUGAGAACUAAAAGGAGGCCUUAGGAUUUGUGGAAUAAGCAUACACUGGUUUUCAUCCAAUCAAAACGGUUCCUACUGUCUGAAUUCUUCCAAGAAAUUUGGUUGCCAAUCAUCUCUGUUUUAUCCUUGUUUCAUGGCUUUUUCUUUUCUUUUACGGCAACUUAUCCAUAUUAUGUGAAUUCGUUUCAAGUACUUCUUUUUGUGUUGGGGAAAUACCGUCUACUUGCAUCUGAUACUUGGUUAUGUUCAAUGCUUCAUUUAGGAUACUUCAACUUAUUUGAGGGAAUGUUUUUUCUGAAUUCUUACACGGGUUUUAAGAUUUCCUAAUCCUAGAUCAUUGUGGAUGAUAAUUCAGGAAAUCUAGAGUAAACAUUGAGCAUGUUUGGAUUGUAAUGUGCCAGGCCGCUGCAAAGACAGAUCCUUUGUCAGUACAACCACAUAUUUCCUAUGGGAUUGUUGGUUUCUAAGAGAGCAUUCCACCUGUCAAGAUUACAUUAAUAUAUCUUGAUCAAAAUUUCCAGUUUGAGCCAAGGAUUCUUUAAGAAUUGUUUAAGAAUGAAAAUUGGUCUUUAUAUAAGUGGUGUGCUGAGAAAUUUUUACACAGGUUUCGAUUUUUUAUUCUUCAGUGAAAGGCCCGGAAAAAGAAAUGGAUUCUAUUCUAGCAAAAUUUGCUGAUUCACCACACGUCUCUGAUAUUGCUGAUGGAAUAAGGGAAAGCCCGUUUCUCCCUUGGACAUCGCUGCAAUUUCUGAAGCAACAUAGUACCCGAGUGAAGCGUUUGAGGGAGGGAUAUAUCAAUGAGCUAAGCUCUGAUAGACCAAUUGAUACUUCUUACCAUCAAGACUUGUCAACUGCUAGCAUCAUGAAGUUAGCAAAAGCCCAACUACUUGAGCUCAAUUACCAGAGAAGACUGAUGUUCUCUCCUAUGUGGCCAGUCGUUUUGGAACUCAAAAUGUCUCAACUAUGAGGUUCCUGGAGACUUGGAACUUGCAUUAGUGCUUCAAGCAAGUGCUUCAACCCUAUUCUGAUACCCGUUGUUGGGAUCUAAACGCGGAACAAACAACUAUUAACACAUCAAGUACACAACAAUUUAAUGAAAAACAAAUCACAAGCAUAAAACAUAAACGAUACGCAAGAUAUAACAGAUAUAACGUGUUUCAACUCCAACAUUGUACCUAUUAUAAAACAAUAAAGCUUAUAUAAAAAUAGAAUUUUAAUUCAAACCCAAUCCUUGUAUAAUUUCUCUCACUUCCUAUGAACCUCUCUCACUCCAUGUAAAGAUUACAUGGUUUCCUUGUGUGCCAUUUUGUAGUAUGCCAACCCUCACCUAGGAAAUAAUUGUUAAUUUCUAAACUUAUACAUAAUAGGAAAUAAUAUCUAACUUAUACAGAAUAGGAAAUAAUUUAUAAUUUUUAAACUCAAACUCAUACAAAUAGGAAAUUUCUUGGCUACUACUUCAAGUAACUAAAUCAUUAAGGAAAUCAGUUACCUCCACACAAAAUAAGAAAUCUACAUAAAAGAAAUUAAUGCUUUCUGCCUAGAAGUGCCACAAUGGCUAAAGCUACAACUGCAGCAGCAUUUAAAAUUUAAGGAUUAUUCUACGGGUCAAAAUAACUAUACUGACUAACUGAUUGAGUGUCUUAAGCUUAAUACGAAAACAUGAAUUAUUGGAGCUAGUCCCAUCAGAUCUCUGUUCUUUAUUAUUCUCAGUGAAAAGAUAACUGGAAAGACAUGGAUACAAGUCCAGCAAAUUAUGCAAAUUCAGUACCACAUAUAUCCUAUCUAGCUGAAGGAAAGAAGGAAAGUCCGUUUCUGCCAGGGACAUCGCUGGAAUUUCUGAAGCAACAUGGUACCAAAUUGAAGCGUUUGAGGGAAGGAAAUCUCAAUGAGCUGAGCUCUGAUACACUGAUGGAUACUCCUGACAAUCCAGCUCCGUCAACUGCUAGCCUCAUGAAGGUGGCAAAAGUGCAACUACUUAAGUUCAACUCCCAGAAGAUUGAUGUUCAUUCUUAUGUGGCCAGUCGCAUUGGAACCAUGGUUCGAAGUCUCGGCCGAGACCGAGACGACUCGGCCGAGUCGUCACCGUCUCGACUCCUACCGAUACGAUACCGUGACGAAACGAUACCGAAAUACUUGACUCGCCGAGAAAUCGGCCGAGUCGUCACCGCGAUGGAUUGACUCGGCGAGUCACUCCGAGUUAUCCCGAGUCAAGACGAGAAAUCAGCCGAGUCACACCGUGACGGAUUGACUUGGCCGUUUCUUUUACUAUUUUUUAAUUAUUUUUAUUUAGCAUACAUUUUUAUAUUAUUAACAAUUUUUAGAAUAUUAAAUACUUUAAAAUUUGCGUCUUACCGAGACCGCGACCGAUAUGCCGAGACCGAUGUGGAACGUUCCGGAACGCGACCGCAACCGUGACUUUGAACCAUGAUUGGAACUCAACUGGUCUCCACUCUGAAGUUCCUGGAGACUUGGAACUUGCACUACUACUUCAAGCUGCUGCUGGAAAGGUGGCCAAUCGACAAUAUGUGCAAGCAAGGAAGUUGCUCAGCUGUGCCGUCGCUCUGCUUCUAAAAGCGGCAGUCCUGUCCACAGAGUUGUGUAUUGUUUCGCUGAAGCUCUUGAAAAGAAGAUUGAACUAGAGUGGGGAAUAGCUCCAACAGAAGAACUGGUGGGGAAGCUAAGGAGGCCAGUGGACGAGAUGCAGGCCAAGACUCGCAUGCAACCUCAACGAGAAAGACCCUUCACUAUUUUAACUGAGUUUAGAGCAACAGAAUUGUUGGAAUAUGCAACUUUUUCUACAUAUUUUGCUAGAUUUUGUUUGAUAUCAAAAUAAUUUAGUUAUUAGAAAAUAAGGAUAUUUGUUAACCAAAGAUCAUGUUGGUUUGUUAACAAAUAUUUUAGAUAAGAUUUGCUAGUAGUAGAAGAUUAUAUUUUGUUGAGAUUUUUAGGAUAAUUGUUAGUUGGAUAUUUUGCUAGUUUGUUUCAUGUAAUCACUAUAAAUAGUGAGUUGAUGAAUGUAAAACAUAAGCUCAUUUUCCACCUUCAAUAGAAGUCUCUUAUAAGCUUUUUUUGCAACACUAAGAUGUUGUUUCUUAGUUCAUGCCCCAAAAAACCAACAAAGUGGUAUCAGAGCCUAUAUCUUAAGGGCCUGAGUCUUUUUUUGUUUUGAGAGUGAUGCAUUGGUGAGGAUCCUUUAUAAGUUCAAAGCCAUGACAGGAAAGAACUUUUUGUCAAAUAUUUCAACUUUUAGUGGUGAAACUUACCAAAUUUGGGCCAUAAAAUUUUGGACUUAUUUGGUAGUCAAUGAUCUACGGGAUAUGGUGGAGACGAAUUUUGUUUCAUCAGUAUUUGAAGAGCUGAUGGAUACACAAAUUAGAGACCACAGAGUUGCAGUUAGACAGAGAUCCAAGGCCAGCACUCACAUAUCAGUUUUUGAUGCCGUUUUCACAAAGAUAAUGGCUAAUGAUUUGAUUGAGAAUAAAUUAUUCUCAAUUAAAAUAAAAAGGAGAAGUUUCACUAUGAAUUGGUCGGAUUUUGACAAUUCUAAAGUGGAACAUGAUGAUGAAAUCAAGAAUUCAGAUCCUGGAAAAAUUCAGGAGGAGAUCAUUGAUAAGUCAGGAGAUAUCAAAUUGACUCCUGAUAUUUAUCAAGAUUAUAACAUUUCUGUUUUUGAGUCUACAGAUUUUGAUGGUCAUGACAAAAUGAAGAACCAUGCAGAAUUUCAUAUUUUUUGUAUAGGUUCAAAUAUCGUCAAAGAAUGUUCCACUUUAAACCUAUGAGAAGGUUAUUUGGAAACAUUAAAAAAAAAAAAUCAUCUUUUAUGUGGAGUUUGGCAUGAGAAGACAGAAAAGUGACUUGUUGCAAGGCUAAUAUUUAGCUUGCAUAAAAAUCCAAAGGAAGAAGUUCAUUGCAAGGUGAAUCAUCAAUUGCAAAAUUUCUUACAAAAGUCCAAUCCAAAACAAGAUUCAAAGAUUUGAGAAGACAAUUCAAAAUCUGCAGCAAAAGUGGCAAGGAGGAGUGUUGGAAUAUGCAACUUUUUCUACAUAUUUUGCUAGAUUUUGUUUGAUAUCAAAAUAAUUUAGUUAUUAGAAAAUAAGGAUAUUUGUUAACCAAAGAUCAUGUUGAUUUGUUAACAAAUAUUUUAGAUAAGAUUUGCUAGUAGUAGAAGAUUAUAUUUUGUUGAGAUUUUUAGGAUAAUUGUUAGUUGGAUAUUUUGCUAGUUUGUUUCAUGUAAUUACUAUAAAUAGUGAGUUGAUGAUUGUAGGACAUAAGCUCAUUUUCACCUUCAAUACAAGUCUCUUAUAAGCUUUUUUUGCAACACUAAGGUGUUGUUUCUUAGUUCAUGCCCCAAAAAACCAACAAGAAUCCAUCUUGAAUGCUGUAGCAUCAGAUAAAAGGGUUCAUCUGAUAGAUUUUCAAGAUAGCAAUGGAGCACACUGGACACUGAUUAUGCAGGCUUUAGCUGUCAGAUACGAAUGCCCCCUUGAACAUCUCAAGAUAUUUGCUGUUGGAACCUGUAAGCAGAUAAUGGAAGAGACUGGCAUGUGGUUGCCAUCUUUCGCUGAGACCCUCAAUUUGCCUUUUUCAUAUAAGAUGGUUGUUUCAGAUCUGAAGGACCUCAGGGAAGAUUAUUUUGAGUUGGAAUUUGAUGAAGAGUUAGCUAUUUAUUCGGACUUGCGUCUGUGGACUCAACUAGUAUGGCGCAAUCACCUGAAAGCUCCAAUGGGUGUAAUCAGAAAACUCAAGCCAAGGAUAGUGGUGGCCAAAGAAAUCAUCCCUCAUUCUAAAGAAAUCAUUCCUCAUUCUAAUUAUCCAAUUCGUUAUCAAUCAACGAACAUUAACUUCUUCUCUUUCGGACGGAGAUAUCUUCGCUCCUUCAGCCAAUUGUAGCCAAAAUUUUUCGUCGAGGAUUUUGGGUUGAGGAAAUAUUUAUGUCUACUCCAAAAAUGGAGAGUUUUAUGAAAUUAGUUAAUUUGGUAGUAGAAUAAUUUUAAUCCGGCACACAUCUUGUGCAGACAAAACGACCCCUUACUUAUCCCCAGUCACUUGAGUGUGUUGCUAUUUUUGUUCGACAUAAUAACUCAAAUAGACAGAAAGACAACGAGUAUACAUAUUUUUGUAGUUGGAGGGCUAAAAUUGCCCAUGUAAUAGUUAAAGAGCCAAAAUUUGUAAUUUGUAAUAGUUUGAGGGUCAUUAGACCAUUUUAUCCUAUAUACAUGCAUGCAUGGAUGCAUGCAUACAUACAUACAUAUAAACUUAUUGUUAAAAAAAAUGUGAUUAAAUUUGAGAUAAACAACUCUUUUAUGAUGCAAAACUUUAUAUUUAUUACAUGUUUUGUUAUAUUUUAAAUACCAAAAAAAAUAAAAGAAGUUAAAUAUAGAAUAUUUUUUUAUUAAUGACCAUACUAGCCAAUUUUCCCAUGAUUUUCAACUAAAUAAACACAAGAAUUUGUACUUGUAUUUGUAUUUGUAUUUUCAUGCAUCAUUUUUUUUGUUGACCAAACACGUGUAGAAACUUAUUAGUUUCUACUUUCUUUACCGCCUUUACUUCAUUUUUUUCACAAUACAUUUUCUUGUACGACUUUCCUAUCAAACAACAGAGCCAUGAUUUUGAAAAGUUAUACGUAAUCCCUAAUCUAAAUUAAAGUGUUAAAGUGAUGGAACUUAUUCUCUAAGAAAAGGUUUUCAAUGUCAAAAAGUACCCAAAUAUCAAGAUGAAAAUUAUUUGUUAAUCACAGAGACCUAUGUAUAAUUUUUGAGAGCCACAUGAGUCUAAAGAGUAAUCUAUAUUGUAAUUUAGCUCUUUCUAUUACUAAAAAUGAUUUUUGCUACUUUUAAUACUUAAUUUAGACCAUAAUGGGCUAUAAUUAGCUUUUGAAACCAUAUAAAUGUUAUGUGAAAUAGUGCUAAAUGGAAAAGGAUAAAAUGUAAUUUACCCGAUUCGAAAUGCUUCAUGAGCUCUUUAGUCAUAAAAUCACGAAUUCAUGACUUGCCUAUUGACAGUGCGAUAUUUACACAGAAAUUUAACAGCAUAUUUAAAAUUCUUACAACCAGUUUUGUAUUAUUGUUUUGGGAAUUGAAGUUCAUCAAAUUUUCUGAAAUCGCUUAGUCUAUGAGAAUUCAAAAUUGGUCCUUGCAACUAAAUUGGUUGUACUUCUUCUAAGUUCCUAAGUUCUCCAUCAAUCAUUUUGAAAAUUUUUGACGCAAAUCUUCACCUGCAGAUUGGAGAUUUACAAUCUAAACGCUUGCACUUUUAGGCUAGGUAAUAUCGAAUAAUCUAUCUUACCUUUUGUACAAGAUCUAAAAUUAUAUCUAUUACCCUUUUUUGAAGGAUUUCUCACUUACACUUUCUCCCGAACCAUUCCAUCCCCCUAUAUAUUACCUACUUAAUUGCUCCUUAAAAAGAAAAAGAAAAAGAAAGCAAACUACAACUUAAGUCGAAACAAGCCAGACGAUUUGAUUGGAAUAAAAUUUUCGGUUAUUACUUUCGAACACAUCUAGUUGCAGGAAAACUAAAUUUAAGAAAAUCCUUCAAUAUAAAUUUUUUUCUGUUAUCGAUUUGUCCAAAAAAGAGUUUAGUGGACAAAAUACCUAAAACCCUCUUUAGUUUACCAGAAACCCGUUAAUUUUUUUUUCCCUUUCUUUCCUAAACUUGCAAUCCCGUUCAACCCGAUCAGCUAAAACAGUUUACAGCUUGAAAAGUUUGAAUAAAACUCUCCCCACUAUUCCCCCCUGGAGAAAAUGGUAGAUUUAAAUAGAAAGAUGUAGGCAAUCUUUAUCCCAAGUAGGAUAAGAGGGUCUGAGCUGAAUUGCCUCAUAUAGUACUAACCUUUACCUCAUAAAACCAAAUUUAAUUGUUGGAUAGAGGAUCCGUACAGAACAAGAAACAAGAUGAAUUGUCGGACAUCUUUUUUUUUCAUCGUGCAUGAAACUGUUGAAGUAUGUGCAUCCUAAUCAAGGUUAUAGAAUAAUUGAAAUUAGGUAUCACUAUCAGAGGAGGGCUAUUAGAGUCGAUUAAAAAUAAAUAUCAAGGUUACAUGAAUUUCAUAUAUUAAAAGAAAAAAAAAAGUGUCAAGGUCACGUUAGUUCCACAAAUAAAAAAGUUACAUCUGCAACAUGUUUGCUGGGAUUAAUUUGGCUGAGUUAUUGAUGCAACCAUUUUCCACCAGAAUUAUCACUGUUUUGGUUAUGCUAUUAUUAGAGUGGAAUCGUCAUUUUUUCAAUAACCAAUAUCAGAAGAUGACUGAAACAAAAAUGGUUACUGCAACCAUUACAAACGAAACUGAAAACCAAUUGCCUGCAAAAUCUACCUUCCCACUGCACAUAGCACAUUUUUCACCUAGGAUGACUCUUGCCAAUGAACGUCCCCAGGAAAUUGCUUGUCGAUCAAUAAUACUUUACUCCUCACUCUUUCAAUCUUGGGUAAAAAACAAAAACGCCCCCGUGAUAAACCUAACACGCAGAAAAACCUCCCAUGGUUUCAAAAUAUACAACACGACCCCUCAUGUUUUGAACUAAAUUGUAAAGGUAACGGAAUCCGUUAAACUUAACGGAAAUGGACGAAAUGACCAAAAUGCCUUGAUAUAAUUAAGCAAAAGACAACUCAAAAAAAUCAUUUAUUUUAUUCUCUAAAUAGAGAGAAUUGAGGGUUAAGGGGUAGAAUAGGUAUAUUUGAUAAAAAUUAGGUAUAAAAAUUUUUUUUUUUAGGUUCCAAUAAGCCAUUUCCAUUAAAUUUAACGGAUUCUGUCAUCUUUACAAUUUAGUUUAAAGCAUGAGGUGUUGUAUUGUACAUUUUGAAACCAUAGGGGGCUUUUCUGUGUAUUAGACUUAUCACAUAGGGCUUUUUUGUUUUUUACCCUUCAAUCUUUUAUGCUUGUUUUCAUUCCCAGUUGACAAUAUUUGUCAUUCGGCACUUGUAUGUUACUCCUCGUGUGUAUCCCAUACAAUUUCUUGUGUUGGGAAGAUACCAUGUUCUUGCAUCUCAAUAAUAAUUCUAUUUAAAGAUUCAUUGGAAUGCUUCAAAGAAGUUUUUCGGGAAUGCUAUUGUUCAUUCUCACAUAGCUUUAGAUAUUUAAUUUGUUGUUUAAUUCAUUGUGGAUAAUUUGAAAAGGUAAAUUUCGACUGAAUGCGUUUGGAUUUAGAACUUUUCUAGGUUCCUUGCCGCGCCAAAGACGGAUUCUCUGUCAGGACAACUACAUGCUGCUCAUGGGAUUUUGUUGGUUCAUGAGAGCAUUCCACUUGUCAAGAUACACAGCUUUUGGCUUUGAUAUUAUACCAAUUUUAGUUUGAGCAGAGGAAUCUUUUGCAAGAAGGAAGUUUCAGAGCUUUAAAUAGGUGGUUGACUGAGCAAUUUUACAUAAGCCAAUCUCUGUUCUUUAUUAUUCUCAGUGAAAAGAUAAAAGACAUGGAUACUACCCUAGAUGAAAAUUCAGUACCGCAAAUCUAUUAUCUAGAUGAAGGAAAGAAGGAAAGCCCGUUUCUGCCUUUGACAUCGCUGGAAUUUCUGAAGCAACAUGGUACCAAAUUGAAGCGUUUGAGGGAGGGAAAUCUCAAUGAGCUGAGCUCUGAUACACCAAUGGAUACUUCUCACCAUCCAGCUUUGUCAACCCCUAGCCUUAUGAAGGCAGCAAAAGCGCAACUAUUUAAGUUCAACUCCCAGAAGAUCGAUGUUCUUUCUUAUGUGUCCAGUCACAUUGGAACUCUAUCUGGUCUCCGCUCUGAAGUUCCUGGAGACUUGGAACUUGCACUGCUACUCCAAGCUGCUGCCGAAAAGGUGGCCAAUCAACAAUAUGUGCAAGCAAGGAAGUUGCUCAUCUUGUGUGGUUGCUUUGCUUCUAAAAGCGGCAGUCCUGUCCAAAGAGUAGUGUAUUGUUUCGCUGAAGCUCUUGAAAAGAAGAUUGAACAAGAGUGGGGAAUAGCUCCAACAGAGGAACUGGUAGGGAAGCUAAGGAAGCCAUUGGAUGAGAUGCUAGCCCAAGUUUAUAUGCAACCUGCAAUGAUGACAUCUCAACAGGAAACACCCUUCACUCUUUUUACUGAGUUUACAGCAACAGAAUCCAUCUUGAAUGCUGUAGUAUCAGCAAAAAGGGUUCAUCUGAUAGAUUUUCAAAUUAACAAUGGCGCACACUGGACACUGAUUAUGCAAGCUUUAGCUGUCAGAGACGAAUGUCCCUUUGAACAUCUCAAGAUAUCGGCCGUUGGAACCUCUAAGAAGAUAAUGGAAGAGACUGGCAAGUGGUUGUCAUCUUUCGCUGAGACCCUCAAUUUGCCUUUUUCAUAUAAGAUGGUUGUAUCAGACCUGAAGGACCUCAGGGAAAAUUAUUUUGAGUUGGAAUUUGAUGAAGAGUUGGCUAUUUACUCGGACAUGCGUCUUUGGACUCAACUAGUAUGGCCCAAUCACUUGAAAGCUCUAAUGGGUGUUAUCAGAAAACUCAAGCCAAGAAUAGUGGUGGUCAAAGAAUUUGAGGCAAAUACAAAUGCACCAAAUUUCCCCGAACGCUUUGAUGCAGCACUUCUUUUAUUCAGUGCAAUGUUUGAUUGUAUCAACUCUUGCAUGGAUCAUCACGUUUUGUAUAGAAAGAUGACUGAAGAAGUUAUCUUUCCACGUAUGGUUCAAAACAUUAUCGUGGCUGAGGGAAUGGAGAGGUUUCAACGACAUGAAAAAAUCGGUUUUUGGAGGAAACUUUUCGCAGAGUUCGGAAUGGUAGAAACAGACCUGACCCGCUCAUCAUUAUGUGAAGCAAGCUUGUUCCUCAGAAGUUCUGAGCGCUUGAGUUCUUGUACUGUGGACAUGGAUGGGAAAUGUCUGAUCAUGGGGUGGAAGGGUGCCCCAUUUCAGUCUCUUUCAGCCUGGAAGUUGCAGAAUGAGUACAAAAUUUAGGACUGUUGCAGGAGAUGAAAUUUAUGGAUCCUGUCAACUGCAGGGCAUGAUUACCGACUAGCUGAUUGAGUAAUGUUUUAACCUUAUUGAUAAAGAUUACUACAAUUUCUUUGCAAUUUCUUAGUUUCUCUUGUGAGACGAGGAAGAAGAAAUGUUUAUGUUCCUAAUGCUCUAAGUCUCAAUGAAGUCAAAAUCACACCUCUCUGAAAUCUUCUAUUAAACCAUUCAAUAUACCUGCAUUUGACUUGUUCUUUUGGUGCUGCACUCGAGUGAGGUUUCGGAGUGACAUUUAUAAGCACAUCCAGACUUGGGGAAUUCCCCCAUGGUAUAAAAGGUGCCGAAACUUUGUCAUUUUUCUUUUGGAUUGCACUAAAGAUCAACAUUUCUAGCUAUUUACACUAUAAGUCUAUCCAUCAACACGAUAACAGGCAUGUGGAAGCUGGAGAGAUAGCAGGUUGAUUAUUUGAUUCUCAUAGCUGGAAAACAAAAUCCUAGCAAGAAAUUUCUAUCUUAGCUAUUAUGGUUCAUUUCAACAUUAUGGUGGUCAGCUUUAGAACAAACGAUUGUCAAAACUUUCUUCUAUUCUUUUCAACAUAGAAGUCAAAAAUUUCAAUCCGUAUUGUUUUCUUUUCUUCUUUUACUUGUUCUUAAUCUUUUGCCCUUUCUCCCUGUCUUCUUCCCCCCCUUUGGCAUCUUUCCGCAUCCAUUCUCGACCUCCAAUUCUCCUCCAGCCUGUCUGAUGGGACUCCAAUUCCAGGCUGGACGAUGACUACAAACAAUGGUCUCCUGUAUUUGUAACAUAUAAUUUGGUUUUUUACAUCUUGGUCGUCUCAGUGUCCUCUUCUUAUAAUAAUUAGUCAUAUUGAUGGCAUUUGCAGGCCUAAAUUUACACAAAUAUGUUUGUAGUUUGUAUUGAGAUCCAUUCUCCUCAAGAAAGCUGCUGCAAGACAUCAAUUGCAGGAGAAUCUAUUUCAGUGGCUUGUUAUUCUCCAUGUGGUGGCUCAUUUUUGUUUCCAAAAUUUCUCUUAUCAGAAACUCUCUUGCUAUAUUGCAGUUCAACUUUGGUCAUUGACUGUUGGAAGUUUGAGGAUAUAGUAAGAUCCUGAAAUAUUGAGUAGUGUUGUUACAAGAUGCCAGUGAUAAAUAAAGCUUGAUUUUGUAUGUUAAAAUUUGUGAAAUUCUUUGACAUAACACUACAUGAAUACAACUAAUUGAAUUUGCACAAUCAAUCUAGCUUUUUCAAAAUAAGAUGGGAGCAUGAAUCUUAUCUAGCAAACUCUUUAAUUUGUCUGAAAACUAGAGUAUGAUAUUUUAAACCCUUAUGGGGAAAACUUCCACUACGGCAUUCACUUAACUCCUGUUGCAUAUCUCAUCCACAAAGUUUAACUGCAUGGCAGAUUGGCAUUUAUCCCUAAGUGAAGGAUUAUGAUAAUGUAAUGUGACACCAAAUAAAAGUCACAUACUACAGUCUACAGCAGCUUUAGCAAGCAGAGAUCAAACCAAUUGUAGCGUGUCUGUUGUUCUAGAUCCACUUGUUAAACACAAGAACAGUCAAAUUACCAAUAUGUUACUAUUAGUUUCAGAUGGAUAUGGUACAGCCUAAUUCUUUGGCAGCAGUACU
rnacentral:lncRNA from 1 species